rnacentral:lncRNA from 1 species
UUUUCUAAAAAAAUAAUAAUUAGACAGAAAGGCACGUGGUACUUGCAUGUGAGGUUCAUGAAUCUUCUUCAGUGGCCAAGUUGAAGCGUUCAACGGUUCUUUGGCCUACCACCUUUCUUUUUCAUGGUUGAGCUUGUUCAAUUGAAGCUAAUGCUAUGCUGUCCUUCCCUUGUUCAAGAGAAAGCGAGGACUUUUUUUUUUUAGCUACUGGCCUAAACAAAAGAGAUUAGCCUCUUGAUCGAUCGAUUGGAUCGAAGUACGCAGAGGUUGAUUGAAGUGUGAGAUCAGCCCAAGACUAAGGCCGAGCAACUAGCUGCUGCAAGAUUGAACGUCUAUCUAUCUUACCACGCUCUCCUACUCCUAUAAAGGCCGAGAGAGAGAAAGACUUACUUGAAAAGAGGAGGAUCAGAAGGCCACUCAGAUAUAUACUUGUCAAGAGGAUAGCAAUGAAGUCUAAGAUAAUCUCUCCAGUUAUGUACCUUCUCCUUUUUCAUAUUAAAACUUGUAGAAAGUCUCAUUGUCUUUGUUGGGUCAUCUGAGUAUAUCUUCAGCUUCUCCUCUAAUGGCAGCUUGAAGAAUUCACUUGCCACUAACAACAUGUCUGCCACUACUUCAUCUGGCACUUUAUGAUUGAUUACCUGCAAUCCCUCAAAUAUCUCAGUUCAUCUCUCUAAAACAAUCCGCUUCUUUAUUUUCAACUUAGUAGUAUAACUAUAUAUAAAAUUAUCAAUUUUCUUUUUUAUUUAUUUCAAAGAAACAAAGAAAAAGAAAAUAAAAAAAAAUGCUCUUCGUUCUUACUCUUCUGAUACUCCUGGAAAUGACUUAUUUUAUUAAUUACCUGGAAAAACCCGUAAUUACUGCAGGCAUAGCCGAUUUGUUGAACUACUUGGGCACCAUCCUCACAGCCCAAAUCGACAAUAGGAACGUUGUCGCAUGCUAAAACUUCAGACAACCGGGGU